GCUGUGUGUAGGUGAUCUGUGAGAGCUGUCAGCUGUAAAGUUGCUGAUUCCUGUUCGUUCGGGGUGAUUGGUGCAACUGUAAUAUUAUGAUGUUAGUCAUUGCCCUUAAAACUAUGUACAUCAUUGAAUAUACAGUUGUGAUCCAUCCAUCUACCUACAAUACACCAAGUUAAUCUGA